GCUUAACACAUGCAAGUCGAGGGGUAUAGUUCUUCGGAACUAGAGACCGGCGCACGGGUGCGUAACGCGUAUGCAAUCUACCUUAUACAGGGGAAUAGCCCAGAGAAAUUUGGAUUAAUGCCCCAUAGUAUUACGAAACGGCAUCGUUUUGUGAUUAAAGUUCCAACGGUAUAAGAUGAGCAUGCGUCCCAUUAGUUAGUUGGUAAGGUAACGGCUUACCAAGGCGAUGAUGGGUAGGGGUCCUGAGAGGGAGAUCCCCCACACUGGUACUGAGACACGGACCAGACUCCUACGGGAGGCAGCAGUGAGGAAUAUUGGUCAAUGGGCGCAAGCCUGAACCAGCCAUGCCGCGUGCAGGAAGAAUCAUCUAUGGUGUGUAAACUGCUUUUAUACAGGAAGAAACCUCCCUACGAGUAGGGACUUGACGGUACUGUAGGAAUAAGGAUCGGCUAACUCCGUGCCAGCAGCCGCGGUAAUAC
rnacentral:rRNA from 1 species